rnacentral:rRNA from 1 species
GAUGAACGCUGGCGGCGUGCCUAAUACAUGCAAGUCGAGCGAACGGACGAGAAGCUUGCUUCUCUGAUGUUAGCGGCGGACGGGUGAGUAACACGUGGAUAACCUACCUAUAAGACUGGGAUAACUUCGGGAAACCGGAGCUAAUACCGGAUAAUCUUUUGAACCGCAUGGUUCAAAAGUGAAAGACGGUCUUGCUGUCACUUAUCGCUGGAUACGCGCUGCAUUGGCUAGUUGGUAGGGUUACGGGUUAUCAAGGCAACGAUGCAUAGACGAGCUGAGAGGGUGGUCGGCCACACGAGAACUGGAACGCGGACAAGACGCCUGCGGGAGGCAGCAGUAGGGUAUCUUCCGCAAUAGGCGAAAGCCUGACGGAACAACGCCGCGUGAGUGAUGAAGGUCUUCGGAUCGUAAAACUCUGUUAUUAGGGAAGAACAUAUUUGUAAGUAACUGUGCACAGCGUGACGGUACCUAAUCAGAAAGCCACGGCUAACUACGUG